CAUUGACAUAAAAACACAAGCUCACUCAGUAGCAGGCACACACACACACACACACACAAGCAAGCCCACUCACGAGCAGGCACGCACACACACAUAGCUUAAUGUAGUGGCUCUGGUGUCUAUAGCCUGUCCCUGCAGGCUUUUCAAUGUAAACACUGACUUUUUAGAGAAAAGGCAGUGUUUACAUUGCUUCCUAGUGACAGACACUCAGACGGUCACUAGAGGUGCUUCCUGUGUCAGUGCGGAUUGGCUG